ensembl:lncRNA
AAUCAAUAUGAGAGUGUUUCACAACCCUUUUCUCUUCUCCACCUAUCAAACAGUUUGAAAUGUUUGACUCAUUCUGCACGUUUACAAAGAUCCGUCCAAUGAACUGAGACGUUUGGCAACUAGCUGACCGAACAGGCCAUAUAAACGGCACUUUGCUCUAGCUAACAGAACUAUAUCGAGUAAGUAUUUGGAAAAUGUGUGUGUUUUGGAUAUGAUUUUGCAAAAACCUUUUUGUUUUUAUUUCCAAAGCAUUGUGGCUAAGUUCAAUUUAGGAAACUUUGUCGAUCUUUAGCCGGCUCUGUCAUUGCAAUGCAGAUGGUCCAUCGGCAAACGUCUGUUACAAUGAUGCAGAACCACAGAAGCCCCUCAAAGACGAUGUGUUACACACCUGAAGCAGUCUUACAUCAGUUGAACAGCAUCAUCCGUCAGACUGGAGAGAAAACGGCAAGACGAGGAGCCUGUCCCUCUGAGUCCCCGGCUAACUCUGUGGUGGCUGCCUGUGUGAUUGCCUGGGCAAAGUAUGGAGGAGAGUGGGCCAGAGGCAGAGCAGCGAGGCACAGAUAACAGGCUUACAAGCAGGUGAGAAAUGGUAACACCAAUAGAUGUUUUUUUUCCAACAUUGAGUAAAUUGGCAGCUUAUUUACUGAAAUUGUCCACAGAAUUACUAUGUGGGCUCUUUACCAUUGUGGAACAUCUUGAUUUUAAUGGCAGUAAAAAUGCCACAUCAAUGCCACAUGCUUACCAACAUUUGAGGUUAGUGAAAGUUGAUUAUCUAACAAAUAAAACCAUAUCUCACAGUUGUUGUGGAAAGGGUGUUGUCAUUUCAGAUGAUGACUUUUAUAUUAUAGGAAUGCUAAAACCCAAACCAAUUUUAAAAUCAGACUGCAUCCCAGAAGAAGAAACUACACGGAUGUUCUUAUUUUGUAAUCUCAAACAUGCAAAUGUUGUUGGAUGUUGAAUUGAUUUAUGAGGGAAAACCAUUUGAGGCUGGACUGUCCGUUGUAAAUGACGCUGAACGACUUUAAUCUGGAGUUACGGUAAAUAUAAGCCAUAAUGUGUGCAAUAUCUAAGAGCAGUGCUCACCGCACAGCGAGGGACUUGCCUGAAAACCUGUGAGUUGAAAAUAUAACAGAGAUAAAACCGCUAAGGAAUCUACUUACGAUUAUUGUAAACUCUGAACUGCAAUAUCCCACUUUGUAAUGCAACUACUGCACAGCAAUUUCCCUGGGGAUAAAUAAAGUUUCACUCCAUCUUAUCAUGCCGACCUGAGAAGCAGCAGCUGCUGCAAGGCAUCCUGGAACUCUGUAGAGAAGCUCUACAUUUGUUACUGACUGACCGACAGUUCAUGCAAUUAGUCAUGAGGGAUAAUUGUGUCUAAGUAACCAGCUUUUAAGGUCUCAUUCUCACCUUGAUGUCAUUUUCAGUCUUUCUUGUUUUUGUUGCAUGUAAAAUGUCACCGGUUUCAUAAAAUGUUACUUUUUCUCCCACAAAGCCAACAUCAAUUAUGUAGAAAAAUAAGGUGCUUUGGCUUUUGUAAAGGCCAGUACAUUUCAACCGAUGUUGCUGAAAUCCAAAUGAAACGACGAUGCACUUCCAUUCAAGGAUGAUGGGAAACUGCAUCGCUCCAGUUCCUCUUUAUCUCGAUUUUUUAAAAACCCCUUCCUGCCACUAUUACAAAGCAAUGUCUCCAUUAUGAAGGGCUGAGAUGGAGCUAGGAUUGCACCGCCGUGGUUGCUGACAGGAACAAAGGUCAACCCUUUAUCCAUCAACCUCCCAAUACAUCUACCUAUCAGCCUGGGUGUCCCUUCCCGUAUCGUUCAGUCCAUCGGCCCCCAACAAACAGCCCCACUCCUUUGUAAAAAGGUUUUUUCUACAUCAGCCUACUUUCAACAAGCUGACAAAUGCAGCAAUGCCCCCAAAUAUGUGCAAGUAAACUAACUUAAAUUUGACCCCUAACAUUCUCUGUAAACAACCAAAUGUAGACUGGCAUAAUUUUCCAAGCUUCUCAGAAUUUCUUUGAGCAUUUCACUAUUAAAUUGAGAAAUGAACACACACAGCAGUAGUAAUAUUGUGGCCUGAAAACAAAAUCUCUGCUUUAAUGAGCAGAACUGCUGGCAGACGUUUUUAGUUUUAGAGUUGUUGAUUGCAAACUGUCUUUCUGCAUGAUUUGUUUAGGGAGGAACGGAUUUGUCACCUGCUGUAAUUUUGCUGUUGGAGAAGUUUUAAAAGUGUCUCCUGUAUACUUCUGCCUAUAUGCAUACAGUGGAUGUAAAGGGUUCAGCGACUUCCAAGUGUUAAUGUGUUGAAAUUCACUUUCCCUGAAACCUGCCUCGUCUAAAUUGUUUCCAGGUAGUUUGCGAUUUGUUGUAUUUCCUGGAAUAAUGUGUGAAAGUCUAGAUUUAGAUGUUGACCUUGUUGCUUUACGUCGAAGCUGAGCUAACAAAUGAGUGAACAAAACACAUUUAAAAUGUGACAUUGAGCUCCCUAAUGUGUUGCACACAAAGAGUCUAGAAAUCCUUCAGCUUCACAAAAUAAUUUGCAGAAUUAUAACAGUAAAUGAUCAUUGUAAUACUUAAAGAAAAAAAGCUUCCCUAUUUCAGCUAAAUGGUUAUUUGACUUUGACAAAUGAUAAAGUCUUCACCUAUUGACAACGUCAAUGGAGAAUAGCGGGGUGGACAUCCCUCGUUCGGCAGCAGUGGAAGUCAAAUCAAGACGAUCUUUGGGAGGGACAGACAACUGAUUAAAACGAUACAAUUCUGUGUUUUUCACAAAACAUUUCAAUUAUUUACUUUCCCACAUGCAGAACCAAUCCCUGUCCUGCAGGCCGUUAGUAAGUCGAUGCUGCUGCUUUGGAUGAUGCACCAGGGUGAUGUUUGUGAGGGAGAGAGAAUUGCAAAAAAGAAAAGAGGUCAAAGUACGAACACGGCCUACCUGUCCCUGGGCUUUAUGAGCACUAAUA